rnacentral:rRNA from 1 species
UACGUAGGGUGCGAGCGUUAAUCGGAAUUACUGGGCGUGAAGCGUGCGCAGGCGGUUUUGUAAGUCAGAUGUGAAAUCCCCGGGCUUAACCUGGGAAUGGCAUUUGGGGCUGCAAGGCUUGAGUGCGGCAGAGGAGACUGGAAUUCCUGGUGUAGCAGUGAAAUGCGUAGAUAUCAGGAGGAACACCGAUGGCGAAGGCAGGUCUCUGGGCUGACACUGACGCUCAUGCACGAAAGCGUGGGGAGCAAACAGG